GUGACGAAUGCCGUGCGGAACUACAUCACAUCGCUGGUCGCGGGUUCGAUUCCCGUCCUGGUCGCAAGAUCGGGUAGCUCAGUUGGUAGAGCAUCGAAAUGUUUCGCCAAAAACUCGUCGUCACGAA
rnacentral:Y_RNA from 1 species